rnacentral:rRNA from 1 species
GAUGAACGCUGGCGGCGUGCCUAAUACAUGCAAGUCGAGCGAACAGACGAGGAUCUUGCUCCUCUGACGUUAGCGGCAGACGUGAGAGUAACACGUGGAUAACCCACCUAUAAGACUGGGAUAACUUCGGGAAACCGGAGCUAAUACCGGAUAAGAUAUUGAACCGCAUGGUUCAAUAGUGAAAUACGGUUUUGCUGUCACUUCUAGAUGGAUACGCGCCGCAUGAGCUAGUUGUUGAGGUAAAGGCUUACCAAGGCAACUAGGCGUAGCCGACCGGAGAGGCGGAUCGGCGACACUGGAACUUAGACACGGUCCAGACUACUACGAGAGGCAGCAGUCGGGAAUCGUCCGCAGUGGUGGAAAACCUUGCGGAGCGGCGCCGCGUGAGAGAUGACGGUCUUCGGAUCGUAAAACUCUGUUAUUAGGGAAGAACAAAUGUGUAAGUAACUAUGCAGUUAUUGACGGUACCUAGUAAGAAAGCCCCGGCUAACUACGUG